rnacentral:rRNA from 1 species
CUGCGUACCUUUUGUAUAAUGGGUCAGCGACUUAUAUUCUGUAGCAAGGUUAACCGUAUAGGGGAGCCGUAGGGAAACCGAGUCUUAACCGGGCGUUAAGUUGCAGGGUAUAGACCCGAAACCCGGUGAUCUAGCCAUGGGCAGGUUGAAGGUUGGGUAACACUAACUGGAGGACCGAACCGACUAAUGUUGAAAAAUUAGCGGAUGACCUGUGGCUGGGGGUGAAAGGCCAAUCAAACCGGGAGAUAGCUGGUUCUCCCCGAAAGCUAUUUAGGUAGCGCCUCGUGAAUUCAUCUCCGGGGGUAGAGCACUGUUUCGGCUAGGGGGCCAUCCCGGCUUACCAACCCGAUGCAAACUGCGAAUACCGGAGAAUGUUAUCACGGGAGACACACGGCGGGUGCUAACGUCCGUCGUGAAGAGGGAAACAACCCAGACCGCCAGCUAAGGUCCCAAAGUCAUGGUUAAGUGGGAAACGAUGUGGGAAGGCCCAGACAGCCAGGAUGUUGGCUUAGAAGCAGCCAUCAUUUAAAGAAAGCGUAAUAGCUCACUGGUCGAGUCGGCCUGCGCGGAAGAUGUAACGGGGCUAAACCAUGCACCGAAGCUGCGGCAGCGAACGUAUCACCCAAGACAACUUUACGGAGUUGACGAUUGACGGAGCGAAGCGACGUCAAAGCGUUCAUUAAAGUCGAGUUGGCUUAGGGAUACGUUCGUUGGGUAGGGGAGCGUUCUGUAAGCCUGUGAAGGUGUGUCGUGAGGCAUGCUGGAGGUAUCAGAAGUGCGAAUGCUGACAUAAGUAACGAUAAAGCGGGUGAAAAGCCCGCUCGCCGGAAGACCAAGGGUUCCUGUCCAACGUUAAUCGGGGCAGGGUGAGUCGACCCCUAAGGCGAGGCCGAAAGGCGUAGUCGAUGGGAAACGGGUUAAUAUUCCCGUACUUGGUGUUACUGCGAAGGGGGGACGGAGAAGGCUAUGUUGGCCGGGCGACGGUUGUCCCGGUUUAAGCGUGUAGGUGUGUGUUCCAGGUAAAUCCGGUUCACUUUAACACUGAGGCGUGACGACGAGGCACUACGGUGCUGAAGCAACAAAUGCCCUGCUUCCAGGAAAAGCCUCUAAGCAUCAGGUAACAC